GAUGAAGAACGCAGCGAAAUGCGGUACGUAGUGUGAAUUGCAGAAUUCAGUGAAUCAUCGAAUCUUUGAACGCACAUUGCACCUCUCGGUAUUCCGGGAGGUAUGCCUGUUCGAGCGUCAUUUGUACCCUCAAGCUCUGCUUGGUGUUGGGUGUUUGUUCCGCCUCUGUGUGUGAACUCGCCUCAAAACAAUUGGCAGCCGGCGUACUUGUUUCGGAGCGCAGCACAUUUUGCGAUCCAGAUCAACGUACAGCGGCAUCCAAGAAGCCUUAUUUAACGCUCUUGACCUCGGAUCAGGUAGGGAUACCCGCUGAACUUAAGCAUAUCAAUAAGCGGAGGA
rnacentral:misc_RNA from 1 species